GGGAGAAGCAGGCUCCCCGCUGAACAGAGAGCCCCAGCUCGGGGCUGGAUCCCAGGACCCUGAGACCAUGACCUGAGAGGCAGGCAGAGGCUUAACCAGCUGAGCCACCCAAAUGUCCCGGCAGCUAUAUAUUUUAUUUUUUAACAUGUAAAACAUAUGCAAAUUUGACCUGUACAACUAAAAAUUAGCUGCCUAUUCACAUAGAAUUCCAUACUAUAUUAAAGAUCCUGCGAGGGAUCCCUGGGUGGCUCAGCAGUUGAGCGCCUGCCUUAGGCCCAAGGCGUUUGAUCCUGGGGUCCUGGGAUAGAGUCCCACAUCGGGCUCCCCGCAUGGAGCCUGCUUCUCUCUCUGUCUGUGUCUCUGCCUCUCUCUCAUGAAUAAAUAAAUAAAAUAUUUAAUAAAUAAAUAAAUACCCUGAGAUACUAAAAAAAAAUGCGUAAUAAAAUACUUAGUAUUUUUAUAUACUGCUUUUUAAUGAACUAUUCUCUACUUACCCAUCUCCUUGCUCUGUGCCCACUGCCUGUCCCACCUUCAUUUUGAACCUCCCCAAACCCACAUGCCACAUACGUCCCAAAAUCAAUCUGUAGCCAUCCUACCCAUCCCCCACGGUCCACUCCAAAUGCCACCAAGCUCUUUAUUCAGUCACUCUCUUUGUUCAACACCUCCUUUAUGACAUUUGCUGGGCUAUGCCUCGCCCUGGCUGUGCAUGUUUGUCUGAAGGGUCAGCAGGCUCCUCAGAGGUAAGGCCCAUUUCCUCCAUAUCACGGCACAUUGGCUGGCCCCCAGGAAAGUAUCCCAAUAUUCCCAUGUUUUAUUGAAUUAAGUAAAUAUGCUCCCUGGAUUCUUCCAUUCACUCAUUCAUUUACUUUCUCACUCAACAAAUAUUUAUUAAGCACUUACUGUGUACCAGGCGCUGUUCUGGGUGCUAGGAAUGCAGCAGGAAACCAAACCCAUCCAGAUGCCUAUCCUGGUGGAGUUAACACUUACUAUUGUACUAUAUUAAAUGGACUCUUAUUCUGGGUUGCCAGGGUCCUAAUCUGGGUUGGAGAAAAGAAGCAGAAUGCUUACAUGAAGUGA
ensembl:lncRNA